AGUGAACGCUGGCGGUAGGCCUAACACAUGCAAGUCGAACGGCAGCACAGUAAGAGCUUGCUCUUACGGGUGGCGAGUGGCGGAUGGGUGAGGAAUACAUCGGAAUCUACUUUUUCGUGGGGGAUAACGUAGGGAAACUUACGCUAAUACCGCAUACGACCUACGGGAGAAAGCAGGGGAUCUUCGGACCUUGCGCGAUUGAAUGAGCCGAUGUCGGAUUAGCUAGUUGGCGGGGUAAAGGCCCACCAAGGCAACGAUCCGUAGCUGAUCUGAGAGGAUGAUCAGCCACACUGGAACUGAGACACGGUCCAGACUCCUACGGGAGGCAGCAGUGGGGAAUAUUGGACAAUGGGCGCAAGCCUGAUCCAGCCAUACCGCGUGAGUGAAGAAGGCCUUCGGGUUGUAAAGCCCUUUUGUUAGGAAAGAAAAGCAGCAGAUUAAUACCCCGCUGUUCUGACGGUACCCAAAGAAUAAGCACCGGCUAACUUCGUG
rnacentral:rRNA from 1 species